AUCUUGCUGACGAGUGCCAAAUUGCACGAAACCUGGGUCCAAGGU
rfam:Schistosoma curassoni strain Dakar, Senegal genome assembly, scaffold: SCTD_contig0011621